rnacentral:rRNA from 1 species
UCGAACGGCAGCACAGUAAGAGCUUGCUCUUAUGGGUGGCGAGUGGCGGACGGGUGAGGAAUACAUCGGAAUCUACUUUUUCGUGGGGGAUAACGUAGGGAAACUUACGCUAAUACCGCAUACGACCUACGGGUGAAAGCAGGGGAUCUUCGGACCUUGCGCGAUUGAAUGAGCCGAUGUCGGAUUAGCUAGUUGGCGGGGUAAAGGCCCACCAAGGCGACGAUCCGUAGCUGGUCUGAGAGGAUGAUCAGCCACACUGGAACUGAGACACGGUCCAGACUCCUACGGGAGGCAGCAGUGGGGAAUAUUGGACAAUGGGCGCAAGCCUGAUCCAGCCAUACCGCGUGGGUGAAGAAGGCCUUCGGGUUGUAAAGCCCUUUUGUUGGGAAAGAAAUCCAGCUGGUUAAUACCCGGUUGGGAUGACGGUACCCAAAGAAUAAGCACCGGCUAACUUCGUGCCAGCAGCCGCGGUAAUACGAAGGGUGCAAGCGUUACUCGGAAUUACUGGGCGUAAAGCGUGCGUAGGUGGUCGUUUAAGUCUGUUGUGAAAGCCCUGGGCUCAACCUGGGAACUGCAGUGGAAACUGGACGACUAGAGUGUGGUAGAGGGUAGCGGAAUUCCUG